rnacentral:rRNA from 1 species
UACAGAGGUCUCAAGCGUUGUUCGGAUUCAUUGGGCGUAAAGGGUGCGUAGGUGGCGCGCUAAGUCAGGUGUGAAAUCUUGGGGCUUAACUCCGAAACUGCAUUUGAUACUGGCGUGCUUGAGGACUGGAGAGGAGACUGGAAUUCACGGUGUAGCAGUGAAAUGCGUAGAGAUGUGGAGGAACACCAGUGGCGAAGGCGGCUUUUUGGUCUGUAACUGACGCUGAGGCGCGAAAGCGUGGGGAGCAAACAGG